rnacentral:lncRNA from 10 species
GGGCCUGCCGCCGCCACCGCCUCAGGGAAGAGGAAGGAGGCCGCGGCUUCGCGUCCCGCCUCUCGCCUGGCUGGCCGUGGGGGGCCUGGACGCAGUGGCCUCCCGAAUCUCCCAGGACCCUAAUAUCGCCCGAGGAUGCUGGGAGGAACGCUGAGCCGACCUCUCCGUUAGGCUGAAGAUUGCACAAACCAUGCUAAUGGCCAGCAUGGAUGGAGGGAGCGUGUGAGAUGUGUGGGGCAGCGUGCUGCAUCUCAGCCAACUCCAGGAGCCAGUUGAUGUGAUGGACUACCUUAAUUGAUUUUUGAAUGUUGAGCCAGCCUUAUGCAUGUGGGAUAAACCCCUGUUGAUCAUGGAGCUCCCAGGCCUCUACAGUUUGCUGGGUCCCAUUACUUUCUGAGACAGGAAGCAUGCUCAUGGCAAUACCCGGAGUCUCCACUGCAAGACCAGAGUGACGGAGGCAGCAGAGCUCCUCAGCAGGCCAGGAGUCUCCAGAGGCACUGCCGAAUGUCUAAGAAGCAACCUCAUUGUAUUCCCAAGACCUGGGAAUCCAGGUCUCGCAGAUACGAUGAUACAAUCUAUAGCCAGGACAUCUCUUCAUGUGUAGUUUUCAAUGAAUACUAGGAUAAGCAACUAUCCCAGUCUUCCCAGGAUUGAGGGGCUUCUCCAGAUGCUGCACUUCUGGUGCUAAAAAUGAGAAACUGAAAUGAAUUAGUCACCCAAGGAAUGCUGACCCUGUGCUAUAUGAUCACAUUUACUCUUUAAAGCAAUGCUUUGAGAACAAUUGAGCUGCAUAGUCCCUGCAAUCUUAUAAAGGCAUUUGGCCUGGAAGAUGCUCUGCAGCCAUGUGCCAAGAAUAACGGCUAUAGGGACAAUGUUUCAUUAACCCCAAAGCAGCAACCUGAACCUCUUACUGUACAAUAUCUGCUCCGUUCAGAAUUAGCUCGACUUGAGUCACAGGAUGAAGCUUACCAAAAGGAAUUUCCACGUCCAAGGAAGGAACCAAGAUCACUGAGAGGUUAUAGUAUGAAAAGUGAAGAGAAAAAACCUAUUCUAAACAUUUUAUUAAUUGUCAAUAAUUAUUUUAAAAUAUUUAAUAUAGUCUCCUACCUGGUCCACUGGCAUCAAGCUGCCAAAUUUACACGGUCACUUUGGGAAGCCAGCUGGCAGGCAAACAUGGAAAGUGCUGGCUCCUAGCGUAGUGAGAAGACCACAGAUAGAUGGUAAUUUUCUUCUUUGUUUUAUUUUUCUUUUUCUUCUCUCCCUCUUUUUCUUCCCUCUUGCCUUUCCCUCCCAUUGCCCACUUUCUUUUUUUGGCUGCCGAAGAUUUAUUGCCUUUCAGUACUUAUAGAUGAUGUUUUCAUAAGUUCUAAUGAGGUCCCAGCAGUUUUUAACAAUAACAGGACAUUACUGUUCCUAAGAUAUAUUAUGUGUUUUCCCUCAUCUUUCUCCCUUGAAUGAAAUGCUUAGAAGUAGGCUAACCCCCAAUUCCCUUCCCUUUACUAUGAUAAAUGGCUCCAUUACUUAAUAGGGCUAAAUACUCUGCUGUGACUUUUAUACUGCUGAUUUGAAUAAAAUCUUACGAAAAGCU